CCUUUAGUGGUGUAGUUGGUAGCGCCUUGAAACUGUAAUUAUGUCUUGGGUUCGAAUCCCAGUCAGGGGC